rnacentral:rRNA from 1 species
CAGUAGCCACGGUAAUACGAAGGGGGCUAGCGUUGUUCGGAAUCACUGGGCGUAAAGCGCACGUAGGCGGAUCUUUAAGUCAGGGGUGAAAUCCCGAGGCUCAACCUCGGAACUGCCUUUGAUACUGGGGACCUCGAGUCCGGGAGAGGUGAGUGGAACUGCGAGUGUAGAGGUGAAAUUCGUAGAUAUUCGCAAGAACACCAGUGGCGAAGGCGGCUCACUGGCCCGGAACUGACGCUGAGAUGCGAAAGCGUGGGGAGCAAACAGGAUUAGAUACCCCAGUAGUCCCUGUCUCUUAUAC